rnacentral:lncRNA from 1 species
UUGCUUCCAAUUGCUUCUACGGUGUGCUGGUGACGGGAGGGGAACAACCACCAUCUCUCUAUAUGUUUACCCAUUUACCAGGAAAUAUGUUUAUACUGUUUUCCAAUCAGGAUUUACCACAAGCCGGGAGUUCCACACCUAAUGACCAGGCCAAACCCAGCCCACUGUCAACAGAGAAAAGUCGGCCUCAAACAUGAGAGAUUUUAAAUCACAAUGGACGUUCGAGGAGCAUGACUGCCAGCACUGUGAGCAGCAGGGCUGUCUCCAGCCGUCGACAGGACCAAACAGUAUCUCGGAAGCAUCAGCGAACACGUGUGGACAGAAGGUGCAGCACCCCCGUGAACCGGCCUCGCCCCACCACGGCCUCUCCUUCCAGCAGUCCCUCGGCUCCCCCCAGCCCUGCUCCACGGUGCCCGCCCCCAGCCCAAGGUGCUCACGACUGCCCACAAGAACCCAAACUCAGCCAUCGGAAGGCUGGGCCGCGGGGCUCCAGAGCCUCCAGAGAUGACUCUGCCCCACAGGAUGCCGGCUUCAUCUUCCACAGCCCGCAGGCAGUUCCAGGCACCCCUUCUUGCUGGCAAAAUGGGAGUUCACAGGCCAGAGGAGCCAUCAGUCCUAACACAGCACAAAGAAGGAAACACGACCAUGAGAGAACGGAGAAGGGCCACCCUAGGCAGCCAGCCAAAGGGGCAAGAGGUAAAAAGAGUGGAAGUGGCGCGCCGUCGAGAUUCCCCAAAAGGUGA